CUGUAAGGCCUUGUCCACAGCACUCUGGUAGAAGUGUGUCUCAGACUUCUGGGAGGUUGUUUGUCUUUCUGCCAUCAGAUUGACACCCGAGUUGAUGAAUGUCAGAUGGACAUGAAGAGCAGCCAGAAACUCCUGAACACUCAGAUGGACGAAGCAGAACACCUUGUCCUGGUACAGUCCUCUCUCCUCUUUAAAGAUCUGUGUGAACACUCCUGAGUACACUGAGGCGGCUCUGAUAUCGAUGCCACACUCUGUCAGAUCGGACUCAUAGAAGAUCAGAGGUCUGAACUCCAG